CAACCCCUCAAGCUCUGCUUGGUGUUGGGCCCGCGGGGUUACCCGCCGGCCCCAAUUCUAGUGGCGGUCUCUUGUGACACCGAGCGUAGUAAUGCUUUCGCUUUGGGUAAGCAAGGGUGCCGGCCGUUAAACAUGCCUCUGGCACUUUCAA
rnacentral:misc_RNA from 1 species